UACGGAGGGUGCAAGCGUUGUCCGGAAUCGCUGGGCGUAAAGGGCGCGUAGGCGGCUCAUGAAGGCUGUGGUGAAAGUCCGGGGCUCAACCUCGGAUCGGCCGUGGCGACUCGUGGGCUGGAGCACUGUAGAGGCGGGUGGAAUUCCGGGUGUAGCGGUGGAAUGCGUAGAGAUCCGGAAGAACACCAGUGGCGAAGGCGGCCCGCUGGGCAGUGGCUGACGCUGAGGCGCGACAGCGUGGGGAGCAAACAGG
rnacentral:rRNA from 1 species